rnacentral:rRNA from 1 species
AGUGAACGCUGGCGGCGUGCCUAAUACAUGCAAGUCGAACGGAAUUUAAAAGGGCUUGCUCUUUUAAAUUUAGUGGCGCACGGGUGAGUAAUAUAUAGCUAAUCUGCCCCUUGCUGGAGGACAACAGUUAGAAAUGACUGCUAAUACUCCAUACUCCUUUUUACCAUAAGAUAAAUCGGGAAAGAAUUUCGGCAAGGGAUGAGACUAUAUCGUAUCAGCUAGUCGGUGGGGUAACGGCCUACCGAGGCUAUGACGCGUAACUGGUCUGAGAGGAUGAUCAGUCACAUUGGAACUGAGACACGGUCCAAACUCCUACGGGAGGCAGCAGUAGGGAAUAUUGCGCAAUGGGGGAAACCCUGACGCAGCAACGCCGCGUGGAGGAUGACACUUUUCGGAGCGUAAACUCCUUUUGUUAGGGAAGAAU